rnacentral:lncRNA from 1 species
UUUUGAGAAUUUGUAGUUGUCCUCCAUUGAUGAAGCUUUUGUUGGUGAAGCUUUGUUGAAUUUCCCAAUUUCCUUUUUUUUUGUUGGGAAAAUUAGAAAUUUGAAAAUGUGGGAGAAACAACAUAUACAAAUUUUGCUUCCACAUAUUGAGCAAGAGAUUGUGAUGCAAGCCAACCUUGUAGUAGUCAAAGGUUUGGGUGAACCAUAUAAAUUGAAUUUGCUUCGAACAGUCUUGAUCAAGAGUGUGUGAAGCUUUCUACGAGUUGUAGUUGCCCUUCAUUGAUGAAGUUUUUGUUGUCACCAUAAAUUGGUUUUGCUUCACACUGUCUUGAUCAAGAGUGUGUGAAGCUUUUGAGAAUUGUGGUUGAACUCCUUUGAUGAGGCUUUUGUUGGCACCAUAAAUUGGUUUUGAUUCACACUGUCUUGAUCAAGAGUGUGUGAAACUUUUGAGAAGUGUGGUUGCCUUCCAUUGAUGAACCUCUUGUUGGCACCAUAAAUUGGUUUUGCUUCACACUGUCUUGAUCAAGAGUGUGUGAAGCUUUUGAGAAUUAUUGUUGCCCUCCUUUGAUGAAGCUCUUGUUGGCACCAUAAAUUGGUUUUGUUUCACACUGUCUUAAUCAAGAGUGUGUGAAGCUUUUGAGAAUUGUGGUUGCCCUCCAUUGAUGAAGCUUUUGUUGGCACCAUAAAUUGGUUUUGCUUCACACUGUCUUGAUCAAGAGUGUGUGCCAUAAAUUGGUUUUGCUUCACACUAUCUUGAUCAAGAGUGUGUGAAACUUUUGAGAAUUGUGGUUGCCCUUCAUUGAUGAAGCUCUUGUUGACACCAUAAAUUGGUUUUGCUUCACACUGUCUUGAUCAAGAGUGUGUGAAGCUUUUGAGAAUUGUGGUUGCCCUUCAUUGAUGAAGCUCUUGUUGACACCAUAAAUUAGUUUUGCUUCACACUGUCUUGAUCAAGAGUGUGUGUAGUUUUUGAGAAUUGUGGUUGCCCUCCAUUGAUGAAGCUCUUGUUUAUAUAUCCAGAUUAAUAAUAUAUUGCCAAAUUAACCACCAUAUAUAUGUAAUGGAUGCUGGCUCCAGCAAACACAUUGCCGGAAAGCGGCCAAUCAGGCUCUCUUUCUUGCAAUUCAAGGUUCACCACUUAUGUCUAUGUGCCUUUUUUUUACUGUGCAUGAAGAAGAAAUUUGUAUGAGCUUCAACUUUCGGUGCUUCAUUCAAGCAAAGAGACAUAAUUUCACUAGUGGUGACAUUACUUUUCAUCUGGUCCAUUAACUCGCAAGAUCUAGGCAUUGCAAUUUGGCCAAUAAAAAUCGACACAUUUUUAAGCAGCCUAAUUAUAGGACGAUCAUGGUGAUAAGGUAGGGAAGAUGGGUGAGUAAACCUAAUAUGUAUCCAAAACCCAUAACCGAAGUCAAAAACAUCGUCACCUGCAUGAAGUUUUAUUCGUUUUUACCGGUUGUCUGAAAAUAUAUAUCGAUCUCUCUUGUUAUAUAAUUUAGCACAUUAUGACCGAAAAAAGAGAGAAAUUUUAAGAGAAUCUCCAAAAGAGACGUCAAAUUCAAAGCAUCAAAUUUCAAUUUGAUGGCUAAUUUGGCAAUUUUACAUAUUGUCAAUAUUUUCUUUCAACCCGAUAUGCCAAAAUUUGUUACUUUAUGUUUUUUUAAACAAAAAUAAUAAAAGUUGGAUUGUUGUUGGUUUAAAAAUAAGAAUAUAAUACUUAAAUAUGCUAGCAUUUAAUAUAAGUCAAGUAGAAUGCCUUUGGAAAUAACAAAAUCAUAUUUGAAGGCAGCUUUAAAUUUGAUAUCUCUUUGUUCAUGUUAGUUUAGCCUUCUUUUUCAUGUCAGCUUUAACAUCUUAGUUAGAGUAAAUGGUAUAUCAUUUAUCAUUGUUAUAUGUCUAUAUGAUAUUUUUAACAUUUUCUUUGAAAAUGGUCUAAAAGAGUUAUAUCCAGUGACAGGAAAGAAAUACUCCCGUUGUGAAAAGGUUAGAUGUUCAAAACGGCCGCGAUUGUGGGUUUUGGUGUGAUGGCUGAUCACAAGGUUUUUGUUUUGGGGUGAAGUUCAGAUAUGGCAAUUGGCAAAGCUUGCAAACGGUCAGAUCUCAUUAAGAAUCAUAACAUGGAUGACUGGACUGGACUGGACUGUUAAAUAAAAGCAAACCCUAGGUACGUAAUGCUAUGAAACAUUGCGUAAGUGAAAACCACAUGGUAUUAUGGCGCAAGUAAGUGAAAACGACAUAGUAAUGCUACAAUGUGGCGUUGUUAAUUCUUGGUUGGCACGUACAAUUCUGCAAUGGUGGCCUUUGACCCCUUUCUGUUAUUUUUGUAUUGGUGGUGGGGACUAACUGACUAGGGUAAUUGGGGACCAAGGAAAUUAACCCCAAAAGACACAUCUGGAACAUACCAACAGGGGGAAUUAAGUAUUACAGAACAAUCGGGUGAAUUUGUAUGCUAGCCCCUUCUCAUAUCUCUUUCGAAGGAUGCUACAGUUAGUGGUUUAUGUAGCUACACAUACGCAAGAAUAAAUUAAAAUUGUUGAUUCAUUGUGAAUUUUACAUAAAUCAAUAUUCAAGAACCGUUAGCGCGUGUGUACUACGUAGUCUCUCACCCCCUUCACAUGCAUGCAUGUUUGCUGCACAAACACAUGACUGGACAAUUCGUCGAUGUAAGAAAAACUCAAUGGUAAAUGAUGAUUUCCAAAGACAUGGUCUAGUUAGUCUUCUGUCCUCAUAAUCCUGCUUCUUGGCCUAGCUAGCUAGCUAACCAAAAAACAUUUAAAUAACAAAAAUAUUGUUAUGUACUUAAUGGUCCAUUAGCAGCAAGAUUAUUACGUUAAUUAAUAUUAGGUGUUCGAUCCAUUCGUUAUGAACAAAGUGGGGAUGGGAAAAUUAGGUGCUGAAAUUAAAUUAAAUACUUGCUGCAUGCAUGAACAUGUAGACCACAGUCCCCACAUAGGCACUUUGGUAGUAAAGCCAAGCUCUUCAUUAAUCUUUUGUCUAGAUUUGAGUUUUCGAGCUCAUUAUUCUCAAUCAGCAAGUCACCAAAUAAAUAAUAACAACACAUUUGCAGUCUAACAACAUAACGUACAAAAAUUAUUAAAAUAUAAAGAUUGUAAUAUUGAAGAAGGAAAAGGUGAGAUGCAUUUUUCAUGGUCCCUGUUCCUUUACUAAGCCUAUAGCUAACCAUUCUUUACCAAUUUCUAAUAAGCAAAUGCAAUAUUUGUAUGGAUGAUGUUGCACAUAUUUUACGCCCAAUCCCUUCUCUACCCUAUACAUUGUCUCAAUUUCGUUGCAGUACUUUUAACUUUUGGAAACUUGAAGAAGAAAAAAAGAAUACAAUAGAAGCAGUAGAUAAACCACCAUAAAAGUUGCAACUUGCCUUGCUAGCUCAAACAAAUUGCUCUAAUUUUCAAAAGUCUUUACGUUCAACAACGUUUGAGUAUAAUGGAUCUCCCUUUCUGCAAUUUUUCUCUCUUAUCUCGAUUAAACAUGUGACUAUGGACAAAAAGAUGGUGAAAAUUAAGCUUAUAAGUUCUGUUAUACAAUGUAAGCUAACAGUGAAUUCCCCGCAUUGAAUGACUACAGGUUCUAAGGUUGGACCAUUUGAGAGAGGAUCCUUGCCGGAUUCUUUUUGUGAGGAUCCCGGAGAUCUUUCAAUCAUAUCCAUUUAUCGUGCAUCUUGCGGUCAAUUUUCGUCAAGUAUUGUGUAUAUUUAAUUUUAAAUAAAAUAUUUACAAGGAUUUUUACCGCACAAUGUUCGAUGAACGAAUGUGAUUUGAGGAUCUCUGGAAUCCUCACAAAUAAAAUCCAACAAGAAUCGGAUCAUUUUAUCAUUCAUGUGAUUGAUGUGGACGUAAAGUUGAGGCAAGCCGGCCGCCCUAUGUUUGUGAAACAGUGGAGAACACAAUGGUUUUCCUCACUUGAGUGGGCAAACGGGUAUCGUUGACAAGAAUGAAGCACCCCCAAGUUCAUUUCAUGCUUCCUCUUAUCAACGAUCAUUUGAGAAAAUAAUGUGCCAAAUAAUAGCGCUUUUUAAGUGCAUGUAUUAAUUUGUUAAUAAUUUCAUCAAACUGUGCAAGAAGAUUUGGUAACAGCUAGGUGCAUGCGUGAUGCACCCUUUAUUUGGACAAUCAAAAGCCAAGUUAUCUCAUAUAUAACAUGCUAUUUAUGAAAGUUUUUAAGUUGUAACGGUCACAUUAUCAAUUUAUUCAUAUUAUAAGACAUUUUAUUUAGGAUCAUUUUAGUUUCGGUUCCUAAUAAACCUAAUUGUUAGACUGAAAACUUAUUUGUUUAAAUAUUUUGAUCGAAGUCCUUAGCCUCAUUUAAGAGAUUUAACUCAUGCAUUUAUACAUUCAAUGUCACACAAAUUAUGAAAUUUAAACAAAUUCAAAUAAUAUUUUAAAAUUUUGACAAAAAAUAAAAAUAAAAAUUUUAAAAUAUAAGAAUUACUUAAAAAUUAAUUUUAGAGUAAUCUUGUUAUUCACAAAAUGUGACAACCCG